UUUGUAAUUGCCUGAGACCAUUAUUUCUUAUUUUAGUACCAAUGUUAGCCACUUACAAGCUCAAAAGUGGUGCCAAGGAAAGAAAGUUAAGCAGUUAAUGAAGGUAAGAUGAGUCAUCUACUAGUAACAGUUAUGGUAGGGUGUGGAACUGCACUCUGUCCCUUUAAGUAGUAUGUAACUGGGUGCAACUCGGACAGUCUCCGUACCAGAGACCAAAUGCUUGACAAAGACCGUGUAGGUCGAAAUGUUGUGAUGGAGUGGGUUCAAUAAAAUUGUCUGGUUUGUACCUUGGAGUGCCUGGACCUUCUAUUUUAUCUACUAGUAACAGUGAGUAAUUAAAAAACAAGACAGGUGAAAUUCAAGUGUAAGCUCACCUGCCACUUCAAGGCAAUAUCUCUUAGGUGAGUCCAACACUAACAUUUCACCUUGCUUCUUUCAACUAAAAGGCAAAAUCUCUAAUGAGAC